UAUUAUUCAGGAAAUACACCAAGAUAGUGACACAACUGGCUAACAUUUUAUGACAUUCAUUUUUUAUUGUUUUAUUAUUUUCUUACAUUCUUGGCCAAUUACUAAAUUGUGUUGCUUUAUGUUUUGUUACAGGAAUUCAAGUCGUCAUGCUAUUGGAUUUUGCAACAUUACUACUAGCUCAUUAUAUUAUCAAUUAGUUCCAAAAAUAUGUUAGCUCAGAAUCAAAUUAUAUUUUCAGAUUACGUACCAGUUCCUGUAAAUAUCCUGUAUCAGAUUAAUUCUGUUUUAUGUCUUAACUGACAGCGUAUGGCGUGUCUUGUUACAUGUCUCCCUUUAAGUGUGUAGGCCUUACAGAGGUUACCUUUUCGGACGAAGGGCAUUAAAUAUGGAGGAUUACAGAUGAUCUUGGCACCGCUGGUGAAGCAAGACCAGACCCAUAGGACCAAACACUAACAUGCAUGACCGUAACAGGACGCACAUGAGAAUCACGGCAGGAACCAAGCAGGCUUACCCAAGGCCCACAAAGACAUCAGUACCACUCAGUAGAAUGCUACAAUAACAUAGAAAAAAGCAUUUAAGCUAAUUCUGUCAGAGUAGCUAUUUCUGUGAGGCAAAUUUUCAUCGUUUAUUAUUAGUGUAGUAUAUUUACGUAUUUAGGUGAGCCAUUACUGGGUUGUUAUAAAAGAGGGAGAAAAAGGGUUUAGGUGUUCAGUUACACAUAUCAGUAUUACACUUUAUACUUUCUGGAGUGUUCCAACAGGAUGCUUCCAUACCAAGAGACCAGGAAGGACCAUAGAGGGUGAAGGAGCAAUGAAGGCUGAGGUCCAGGAUUAAACAUGACCAGGGCGAACCCAGACUAACCAGCCCGAGACACCUUGGCGACGCCUCAGAAUGAGCCCGAGUGAUUCUGGUCUGAGGUCCAGAACUCAGAACACACAGAGCAGGUCUGUGGGCAGCUGUAGGAAGCUGAUUGUCACUGGAGCCUCAGGCUAGAGUGGGACGUCCACUAAA